ACCCUCGUUGUGACUAAAGGAUCUUCCAUCAUUUACUCCUAGCCUUCUGUAUAUUCACUGGGAGCAAAAAAAAUGAGAUCAGAUUCCAUCAAAAUCGCAUGCAAGUUAGCAGACACCAUAAACCAAGUAAUAUGCUCCAGGAAAGUCAAAAGAUUCAGAUGUGCACACUACUAACUCCAAGAUGCACCAAAGAGGAUGAAGCCAACUGAAUGCCAGUUCAAACUGAAAGCUGCCACAAAGACCAAAUCAUCAAUAAUAUGUGUCAGAAUCGCUAAUCAGAAGUCAAAACCAUCGGGGAAGCAGACACAGUCGAGGCUGAUGGCUUCACCAAGUCCCUGCACCAACUGACGUUUUACUAUACUUUCCAACUCUACAAUCUUGCACUAACACCUCCAACACUGCAAAUGCACGAACAACCCAAAUAAAAGGCAUACUUCAAAAAUUCUUCAGAGAAAGUGAGGCGGAAUUAUGAAGUCUAUGUAGAGAGUACUAAGAUUUUGAGGUUGUAGGAAACUCUUCCAUCCAGAAGCCCUGAACUCUGUGGAUCAAUUUGAAUACUCAGACUAACAACUCAGGAAACUGGUUUUCUAACCGACAAAAUAGAAAAAAUACGAAAUUAGAUCUGAAGACAGAUUUUCAUGUAGCAUGACAUGCUCUUAUCUUAUAUGCUCUUAUGGUAUAUGCCCUCAAACUUGAUAAUAUGGUAAAACUGUUCACUUAGGAGACUUGAUUGCACACUCUAAUUUGCCAAAGUUUAUAUGCUUGGAAGAGAAAAACUGUAUAACAAAUGGAUAUAAAACCAAAGUACCAAUGAGUGUGCCUCAUCCUUCCCGCCAGGAAGCUCUAUUUAUGAGCAUCAAAUAGACUAUUUCCACUUGGCAGCAAGGCAUACUAAUAGGCACACAAAAAGUUAACCUGUACAUGAUGUUUAUCUCUUAUAAUAUCAUCUUUGCAAAGGGAAAAAAUGCAGAACAACCAAAUAAAAGCUUAGUAUUGUUAUCUAAAACAGUAGUACAUCAUAAAAUCACCUAUCGUAUCAUUUGUUUUCCACCAAAUCUUAUUUCCAUUGUCUAGCAUAACAAAUCAUCACAAAUCAUCGAUCCUCUGAUCAUGAAACAUGCCCAACCAAAAUAUAAAAAGCAGAAAGGUAAUAUAUUCUGGGUGCAUGAUGGAAGGGCAACAUGAGCUAAAUUUUAUUGUCUCAUUUUAAAGUGUAAAGCAUGGAUUGCACAAUUGCACACGGAAAUUAAGGAGAUAUAUGUGCAGAGCAGGGUCCGCACGGACCUUCGGAUCAGCACCACCAAGCAUCAAAUAGAGGCAGAAAGAAAUCCAUGGUAUGUCAGAAAAUUCAGUUGCUAGUUUGCUACUACACCAUGCUUCAUCACACACGUACUACCACACAUCAAAUGUCUGCGGUACAAUUAAGAUAGUUAAACUGGCAGAUCAGGUGGAAAGCAUGGUGCAAAUUUGAAUUUUUGGAACAAUCAUUUGGUUGUAUAGUUUACUUGUAGUAGUUCAUAGAUUAUAAUAUGUCAAUUUUGAGGUAAGGUGACCACAUGGCAAGCAAGAUGUCAUGGAGCAAAUUUGAGGUAAGGUGACCACAUGGCAAGCAAGAUGUCAUGGAGCAAAUUUCAGUGGACAACCGACGAAGUAGAGUGAUAAUUGGGUGCGUACCCGAUCGAGCAUCCAGAGCUUCGCCUAGUUUCUUUCCCUGUCAGACAUCACUUCCCUUCUCCUUGGAGGCUGAAGGACCCCUUUGAAGGAAGUGUCGAAUGUUAAGCUUCAUGGCAUUUUGGCAAGGCCAACAACAUUAACUUGUGGUUCAUUAACAGUACUUAAACUGAUCUACAAAUGUGGCACAUAGAAUGAGUAAGGAGUGAGCUCGCCAGGCUAUGUGGCAUGAGUGUGGUGAGAUGAGAUGGUAAUGAUCUCCAGGGAAAAAAGUGAUGCCAAAAAAAUUCAGUUCAUUGGAGCGAAAUUUGAGAGAAAGAUGAAAUACUUGAGUAAAAAACUAAGCACAAAAUCUUGCCUCAAUCUGCUUGGAUUUUGUCAAAGACAUAACAGGCAUAGAUAAAACAAAAAUCCACAGAAAUAAAGCUGAGAAUUUAUGGGGAUCAAAUCGAGAGGAGGGAGGGAGGGAGAGAUGUGGGUACCUGCGAGGCUGCAACAGGGCAUACGUUCCAUGUGAGCAGCUGCAGCGGCCGCCUACGCUGCUCGCUGCACUUACAGAAGUUAAAGUAGCAGCAUUUUGUGGCGGCGCAACUUGACAUUUGAACUCAAAUUACAAUAGAACAUAGCAGGUCUACGAAAAUGAACAAAUGUACCUGUGGGCAAGAGAAACAGAGCAAGAGACAACGAGAACAUAACACUAA
rnacentral:lncRNA from 1 species